rnacentral:rRNA from 1 species
AAAUCUUAGAAGUAAAACUUUUUGUUGUGGGGUUAAAAUUCCAAGUUUUAGUAACUAUAUACAAACUUAAAAAAAGGUAAUAGGAAAAAUUAAGCAAUCGUUAUUCGGACUUAGUACUGGAAAAAUAAUGGAUAAAAAGUGGUGCCAGUAAUCACGGUUAUACCUCGCAUAUGGGAAUAUUAAAUUUAGGAUAAAUAACUAUGGAUGUUUAAUAAGUAGAAUUUUAAAUAUGCUAUAUAAGUAAGGAAGUAAAGGUUAAAAAUGGAUUAGUUACCAUGUAUAUUUUAAAAAAAGGUAUUAAUAAUAUAUAAACUUAAACAACUAGGCGGUACUUUUAUCAAGGGGGGAACUUGCUGUUAGUCUGAUAAUCCUCAUUAAAAGUAGUUAGAAUUAGAUUCAGUGUAUGUCCGUGUUAAAUAAUAUAUAAUAUAGUGUUAUUCAGGUCGCCAUGCUGUUAUUCUAAAAAACAGUUAGUUACAGUGUAUUAUUUAAGUAUAAAUAGCAUUAAGUAGCUAUUUUUAAAAGGACUCGUUAGUAAAAAUAAAUUAAAUAUUAUUUUGAAUAUUUUCUAAAAGUGAGUACUCACCGCCCGCCACCGAUUAUGUUGAGUUAUCGUAAGGCGUAACAAGGUAGUUGUUGCAGAAGCAGUAACUGAACUAUUGAGUAGUU